ACACUUUGCACCUGUCUUGGAAGCAGAGCUGUCUGCUCCAGGGUUAAACUCACAGCAGGUUGAAAAUAGAAGGUGUGUGAGCAUUUACACUGUGCUUCUCCUUGAAAAGCAUCAGGAUCAUGUGAGAUUUAAAAAUGUUUAAAUGAGAGGCUUCUCGCUGUAAUUUACACACAUCCCAUUUUAUUUAUUUUAUUAUUUUAUUUUAUUUUAUUUUAUUUUAUUUUAUUUUAUUUUAUUUUAUAUUGCAUUUUCCUUUAUCAGCCAAGAAAAUAGGGGACAUUUAUAAACUAAAAGGAGAAGAAUUGUUGGGUAUUUAUCUCGAAUCAGUCUUCCAACAUCUGCCUUCAGUGUGCACACGGCUGAGGAAAUCCUGCGUGGGAAUGGCAGCAGAAGUGGCAGUGUGUGUGUGUCCCACUCUGUUUUCUGCAGGGCCACCAGGAAAUUCAGUGUUUUGUGAAGCCUACAGCUGCAGCAGCCAGCAAAGCGUCGCCGGGCAGGGAUGGCUUGGACAUCGUUCAGCUACUCCUGCGCUGGGUGUUCGAAAUUGGAAAUGGAGUGCGAUUAAUAAAAAGAAAUAAUUAAGCGCCUUUGCCUGAGCUGAUAGCAAAUGACGGAAUUUCGGCUGCAGGAGCCGCCUCCCCAGGCUGGGUGCCGGGGUGCCCCUGGGCGAGCAGGGAUCUGCCGGGGCCGGGGCUGGGCCGCUGGGGAGGAUGCCUCGCCAGGCUCGGUCCUUGCCGGCUGUAAAUUCCGUGAUCUUCUCUGAGCCCGUCCAUGGCUUGCACGCGGCAGGGGAAGGCGUCCCCUGCCUCUGUGGCUGCUGGGCCCCGAGUCUCCAGCACCCACCUCGCCCGGCCGGGGCACAUUUUCCAUGGCAAGCUGAUUUCCCAUUUUUAUCCCAGGCGUAAAUCAAGCCCAGCUGGACCCCGCAGGCGCUGGGGUUUGGUGCCAAGCACAGCUGCGGGG